CCAACUCUCUCGACUUCUCCCUCCCUAAGCACCUCCUUCCUUUGUCUUCUUCCACAACUUCGGUAAAAAGAUAAAGACUGCUUAGUACUAGCGUGACUUACAUGGCCCCUCGUCGGUGAGCAUGUCGCCGUUGAGCGGUCUCGUGGCCGUGUCCUAAGGCUCACACACAUCUUUGCACCCAAGACCAAUAGUCGUGUUGCCUAUUCUCAUGACUUGUCGGUGUCUUCUACGACCAAGAACCAAUUCCUUGCUUAAUCUUUGAUCGAUGAGCACGCACCAUCGACAGUCUGAUUGGAAGUGUUAACACGAAGGUUGAUCCAGCCCGGACGAUUGGAUGCUCCGGGCUAACAUCAGAAAUGACGCAAGGGUGACAUUGGGUUUUUAUUUCAUUUUUCUUCCGAUUGGAAGGCUCAAAAUCCCUCCUUUCUCAGUUGCUGUACUUCAGCACUGAACUGUAGGAGUAAACAUAUACUUCACGUAACAUAAUGUUACAAAUUGUAUAUCGGUACUAAUCCUUGAGAGUUGUCACUACUACAACAUUAUUUUUAUCUGUCGUUUGAA